rnacentral:rRNA from 1 species
GACGAACGCUGGCGGCGUGCUUAACACAUGCAAGUCGAACGGAAAGGCCUGCUUUCCCUUGUGUGUUGCGGGUACUCGCGUGGCGAACGGGUGUGUAACACGUGCGUUAUCUGCCCCCAACUUGGGUAUAAGCCUGGGAAACUGGGUCUAAUUCCCGCUAGGACUGCAGGGUGGUGCCUGUGGUGGCAAACGAUUUUCUAGUGCUUGCGGAUUAGCUGGCGGCCUAUCAGCUUGUUGGUGAGGUAAUGGCCUACAGAGGCGGCGACGGGUAGCCGGCCUGGGAGGGCGGACGGGGACGUUGGGACGGAGAAACGGGGCAGACUCAUACGGCAGGCAGCAGUGGGGAAGAAGGCAGGAGGAGAGGAAGCCUGAUGCAGCGACGCCGCGUGGGGAAUGACGGGCUGCGGGUUGUGAACUCCGGUCGACAGCGAGGAAGCGACCUGGCUGGGAGGGUGGUGACGGUAGUGGUAGAAGAAGCACCGGCUAACUACGUG